GCCAUCUUCUUCAAGCCUAGUGGGAAAUGAAACACUCUGAUUGUUACCUUUUUUUACCUGCCAUUAUUUUUAAAAUGUGACUGGGUGGUGGUGGCACACCUUUAAUUCCAGCAUUUGGAAGUCAGAGGCAGGCAGAUCACUGAGUUCAAGACCAGCCUGGACUACAGAGAGAAUUCUAGGGUAGCCAGAACUACAUGUAGAAACCCUGUCUUAAAAAAAAAAAAAAAACCCUACAACAACAACAAAUUAUUUAUAUUCACUAGACUGUUAUAAAGUAUGUUGAACAUAAUUUGACUUUUUUAUUAUCUGGGCUCUCAGUUUAUAUAUAUGUAGUGCUAAUUCUAAUUUUAAGUCAUGGUCUUACUAAUAAAGAACUAUGAUCAUGGAAAAUUCAGUUGUUUGAUUUGAAGAUACAUGAUAUUAAUGCUUAAGCUAUUUAAGCACAGUUUUAGAACUCAGUUGUUGAGACACUUAGUAAAGAAACAAGUUAAGGAUUGUGACCUGGAGGUAGUAUGUCCUUAUACUUGGUUGUCUGUUACCAUGGCUGCUUCCUCUGACACUGCUGUGGAGAAUUUACAAAGGUAGCUGUAGGAUGAGGAUGGUGCUGUAGAUGUGUGUUGAAGCUUGGUCUUUCUUUUCUUCCCUGAAUUAUUUGCCUAUUGAGUAUAGCUUAUCUCAGCUCUGAUUCAAAGUUGUGUGCUUUAAAUAUGCUGUAAUUCUUGUUUCUGUAGAAUUCCUUUUAUUAGAUCUGUGAUCAGUACAUUAUAGGUAAAAUACAUUAAAAUCCAGACUUAAAAAUCUCUUUAAGAGAUCCAAUGUUUUAAAUUUGGGUGUUUUUUUUUGUUUUGUUUUGUUUUGUUUUUUUUUUCAAUGGAUCUGGUUGUUUUAAAGACUUCGUAUAUGCUUCUAUGGUCCAGUUAGUUACAGCCUUUCAGUUGACUGACUUCAAUCUUCAUGUUUGCCCAGUAGUUUCUAGGUUGGUGCUUUUUUUUUAAUGUGAUACAGCAUACAUGACAUUAGCUUCCAGUUAUGGUGAGGUGCGUGAGAGACUCGUAGGCCGGGCUCCCUCUGUGGCCUCUGAGGCUGCUGGGAUUUAGGCAUAUUCUGAGGCUUGACGUGACCCUUUCUCUCUUCCACAGGUACCACAGGCUUUUUCUCAGAGAUGGCGAUUACUCUCCUCUUUAACUCUACUUCAGUAACGUCAUGCAGGGUGCUGCCUUUUAACAGUUUUGCGAUUCUUUAGGGUGCAGACAGACAUGCACGGUAAGGAAACCUUGUAACAUGUCAUUUCUGAAGAACUGAAACUGUUUUAAUCUUUUGUCUUUCAGUCUCACUUUAUCUCUGCACUGACAGUUGUGUUUGUAAACUCCAAGUCCCUGUCCUCACUUAAGAUAGACGACACCCCAGUCGAUGACCCAUCCCUUAAAGUCCUCGUGGCCAACAACAGCGACACACUCAAGCUGUUGAAAAUGAGCAGCUGUCCUCACGUCUCUCCAGCAGGUAGGUCAUGUUGUUACCAGACAUUGUUUCUCAAAUUGAGAAAUUUGUUUAUUUAAUAGUUCUGCUAAUGAACUUGUAAAUGAAUUCACAAAACCAUUUCUUCUUCAAAGUAAACUUCAGUGUCCUAAUAGCAUAAUAUCUGCAGUAUUCUAGAGCUUAGACUUCAUCCUAUUUUCUAGGCAUUUUAUGUGACAGAUUGAGUGUAGCGUCUGUUGGAAAAUGGAUAAAUCCCAUGAGAAGAGAGGAAUGUUUGUUUAUUAGCUACAGGUGCAGGAGCAGAGUAUCUGACACAAGCAGCUUGGGGUGGAUAAAGCAUCUCUUAGGCUCAGUGUGAGAGUACUAGUCAAGACUGUUGGGACGGUGCAGUAGAGGAGCGUGAGGUAGCGGCCUCAUUGGAUCUUCUGCAGUUUUGAAGGAUAGGCAAAGUGGAGCCAAGCUGGAAAGCCUUGGGCCUUAGCCCAGUGACUCGUUUCUUCCAAUCAGGCUUCAUGAAUAGUUCCACAACCUUCUAAACUAGCACUAACAGCUGUGACCAAAUGGUCAAGCCUGAGUUUACGAGAGACAUUUCACAUUCAAACCACAAGGGGGUGCUGUAAGGUCUGCGUGAACUUGUUGAGAUAAAACAGAAUUCUGCUCACUUUGAGUUCUAGGUGUCUUGGGUCAGAACAGUGACAUAGUUACUUCUUACAUAAAGGUGUAUUUAAAUAUGGUUGCCUUUUUGAGAGAGAAUGCUCUUUAAAACUUAAAUUGUAGAAAUAACAUUGUAAGAGGUCUUUCCAACUACUUUAUAUAGAAUUUUCUAAGUAUUAGUACGUUGUCCAGAUUUGAGGUUUUUUAAAUUACAAGUGACCUGUACUGAGAAGUAUAACUGUUCUCAUGCUCGUGCCGAUGUCUCAUGGCUGAGCUUCCACUGCUGAAAUCCUCCAUCUUCAGCCAUGUUGUUCAGCAGUCUGUCAGGGCUUGUUUGUUUGAUGUUCUAAGUAUAGCAAAGGAUUGGAAUUCCCUGAAAUGAUGUCUUCAUCAUCAUCAUUGACUCUUAGAGCAUCUUCAUUAUGACAGAAAGAAGCCUGCCUGUCAGGCUACCCCGUUCUAAGCGACUCCCUGGACUCCUUUGCUUGCUCUCCCAGACCACCCACACAGAGGGUCUGCUGAUAGGAAUAAGCAGGCGGACUGUUUGUACUGACCUCGCUGUCUCAGCCUCUUUAGAUAGCCACUGAGAGGGUUACACACUAGAGGCUAAGAAGAGACUCAUAAACCUUGGCAGUUAUUUUCUGUUUGACCUUGAUCACAUUUUAUUGUGUGCUGUGAGUAAGAUGGCUUUCUUAGGUUCAUAGUGUACAAGGCCCUUUGUCCCAACCUCCACCCACCUUGUUUGUACUUCACUCCCAUGCCCUGGGAGCUGGGAUUCGUAGAGAACUGGACUUGUUUUGAUCUCCAGUCAGCACUGUGCCUUGUGAAAUAGUCUGUAAUUUUUUAAAACCUACUCAUCAAUACAUUAUCAUCAUAAAACUUUUAUUGAAAAAGAAUUUAUGAUCCAGGUGUGGUAGUGCAUACCUUUAAUCUCAGCACUUGAGAGGCAGAGGCAGGUGGAUCUCUGUGAGUUUGAGGAUAGCCUGGUCUACACAGGAAGUUCCAGGACAGCCAGGGUGAUUAUAUAGAUAAACCCUGUCUCC
rnacentral:lncRNA from 1 species